rnacentral:rRNA from 1 species
GAUGAACGCUGGCGGCGUGCUUAACACAUGCAAGUCGAACGAUGAAGCCCAGCUUGCUGGGUGGAUUAGUGGCGAACGGGUGAGUAACACGUGAGUAACCUGCCCUUAACUCUGGGAUAAGCCUGGGAAACUGGGUCUAAUACCGGAUAGGAGCGCCUACCGCAUGGUGGGUGUUGGAAAGAUUUAUCGGUUUUGGAUGGACUCGCGGCCUAUCAGCUUGUUGGUGAGGUAAUGGCUCACCAAGGCGACGACGGGUAGCCGGCCUGAGAGGGUGACCGGCCACACUGGGACUGAGACACGGCCCAGACCCCUACGGGAGGCAGCAGUGGGGAAUAUUGCACAAUGGGCGAAAGCCUGAUGCAGCGACGCCGCGUGAGGGAUGACGGCCUUCGGGUUGUAAACCUCUUUCAGUAGGGAAGAAGCGAAAGUGACGGUACCUGCAGAAGAAGCACCGGCUAACUACGUG